AAGUCGAGCGGACAGAUGGGAGCUUGCUCCCUGAUGUUAGCGGCGGACGGGUGAGUAACACGUGGGUAACCUGCCUGUAAGACUGGGAUAACUCCGGGAAACCGGGGCUAAUACCGGAUGCUUGUUUGAACCGCAUGGUUCAGACAUAAAAGGUGGCUUCGGCUACCACUUACAGAUGGACCCGCGGCGCAUUAGCUAGUUGGUGAGGUAACGGCUCACCAAGGCGACGAUGCGUAGCCGACCUGAGAGGGUGAUCGGCCACACUGGGACUGAGACACGGCCCAGACUCCUACGGGAGGCAGCAGUAGGGAAUCUUCCGCAAUGGACGAAAGUCUGACGGAGCAACGCCGCGUGAGUGAUGAAGGUUUUCGGAUCGUAAAGCUCUGUUGUUAGGGAAGAACAAGUGCCGUUCAAAUAGGGUUUGCACCUUGACGGUACCUAACCAGAAAGCCACGGCUAACUACGUGCCAGCAGCCGCGGUAAUACGUAGGUGGCAAGCGUUGUCCGGAAUUAUUGGGCGUAAAGGGCUCGCAGGCGGUUUCUUAAGUCUGAUGUGAAAGCCCCCGGCUCAACCGGGGAGGGUCAUUGGAAACUGGGGAACUUGAGUGCAGAAGAGGAGAGUGGAAUUCCACGUGUAGCGGUGAAAUGCGUAGAGAUGUGGAGGAACACCAGUGGCGAAGGCGACUCUCUGGUCUGUAACUGACGCUGAGGAGCGAAAGCGUGGGGAGCG
rnacentral:rRNA from 1 species